rnacentral:rRNA from 1 species
GAUCCUGGCUCAGGAUGAACGCUAGCUACAGGCUUAACACAUGCAAGUCGCGGGGAAACGAUAUUGGAAACUUGCUUCCGAUAGGCGUCGACCGGCGCACGGGUGAGUAACGCGUAUCCAACCUGCCCACCACUUGGGGAUAACCUUGCGAAAGUAAGACUAAUACCCAAUGAUAUCUCUAGAAGACAUCUGAAAGAGAUUAAAGAUUCAUCGGUGAUGGAUGGGGAUGCGU